rnacentral:misc_RNA from 1 species
AAGAAACUAAGAAGUUCCCAAACAAAUUAAGUUAUUAAAGUUGCAUUACAAUUUUAUCAUCUCAAAGGCCCUAAAUCUGUCGUCUUUGCUCAUAAAUUAUGAUCCUUCAAAGAGUAUCCAAUAAGACAUUCUUUCCAAUCAACCGUUGAAGUACAAUAACAAUUGGUACUUAUUAAUGUUGAGAAUUAACCUUUUUUAUUAUCUUUCUUUGAGUUCCUGUUCGAAUUGAACCAACUUUUCACGAACAGGCUGCAAAAAUCGCUUCAAAUCUUGGCAAAUCUGCAACUUAUCCUCAGCCAGAAGAUCUUUCUCUUCG